rnacentral:lncRNA from 1 species
GCCUCUUUGAUGGGGUGUUUUUACUUUCUUUCUUUCUUUUUAAUAUAGGAGAUGCUGCUAAGAUGAUCCAUGUGAUGUCUCUAGAUUCAAUUUCUCUCGCUCCCCAAGGCAAGGAACGACUCCUCUCUGUAUCCAUGACAUCCAGAGACAGCAGGAUUAGACUCAAGGUGAAGUUGGCCCCACCUGGCUGAUCCCAAGGAGCGGCUGGUCCCCUAUCACUUCUCCAACCCUCAGCCUGGAUGUAGGAGGAGGCUGGCCUCCGUGUUGGUGAGAGCUGCCCAGUGGGGUUUUCCUCUGCAGAAGGAAAAGUGGUAAGACUUUAGAUUUUGCAAGCUGGAGCCCACGCAAUGAUCCUCUUCUCCUGGGGACAGAUUGGGAUCACCUAUUGGUCACCUUAGCAUCUCUCUGAGGGGACUGCAGUUGGGAAGCGCUCAUCUUGUCUCGCAGUAGCUUGCACUCCCAUCUUGGAACCAAAUGCCUUGGAUCCUUGCUCUUUGCCUACAAGCUCACAGACCCCACAGCUUACAAGUAUGCCUUUGUUGCCCCUGUUGGCUACUCCUUCAGCCCAAGCCUGUUGUCUCCAGCCUCCUGUGAGGAUUCCUGACUCUCCCUGACUCUGUUAAGCUCUGCAAUAUCCUCCAUCUGCUUGGGGCUUUCUUUCCUAUUUAUCCUACACUUUAGCAACUUCUGUUUCUGGACAGAAAUCACCCAGCACUGUCC